rnacentral:rRNA from 1 species
GACAACGUUUAUACUACGUUGAUAAAGUACCAGUUCUCGUCCGAUCACUGAAGUCAAGCAACGUUAGGCAUGGUUAGUACUUGGAUGGGUGACCGCUUGGGAAUACCGUGUGACGUUGUCC